UACGUAGGGCGCAAGCGUUGUCCGGAAUUAUUGGGCGUAAAGAGCUCGUAGGCGGUUUGUUGCGUCGGCUGUGAAAUCCCGAGGCUCAACCUCGGGUCUGCAUUCGAUACGGGCAGGCUGGAGUGUGGUAGGGGAGAUCGGAAUUCCUGGUGUAGCGGUGAAAUGCGCAGAUAUCAGGAGGAACACCGAUGGCGAAGGCAGCCUCCUGGGCUAGUACUGACGCUCAUGCACGAAAGCGUGGGGAGCAAACAGG
rnacentral:rRNA from 1 species